ACGCUGGCGGCGUGCUACACAUGCAAGUCGUACGAGAAAAUCCGCUUCGGCGGGUGAGUAGAGUGGCGCACGGGUGAGUAACGCGUGGAUAAUCUGCCUUCAAGUUGGGAAUAACUCAUCGAAAGGUGGGCUAAUACCCGAUAAUGCUAUGGUGCUUUAGCAUCAUAGCCAAAGAGAGCCUCUACAUGUAAGCCCUCGCUUAGAGAUGAGUCCGCGUACCAUUAGCUAGUUGGUAGGGUAAUGGCCUACCAAGGCGACGAUGGUUAGCUGGUCUGAGAGGAUGAUCAGCCACACUGGGACUGAAACACGGCCCAGACUCCUACGGGAGGCAGCAGUGGGGAAUAUUGCGCAAUGGGGGAAACCCUGACGCAGCGACGCCGUGUGAGGGAAGAAGGCCUUCGGGUCGUAAACCUCUGUCGGGAGGGAAGAACCGCCAGGUUCCGAACAGGAACCUGGCCUGACGGUACCUCCGAAGGAAGCGCCGGCUAACUCCGUGCCAGCAGCCGCGGUAAUACGGAGGGCGCGAGCGUUAAUCGGAAUCACUGGGCGUAAAGCGCACGUAGGCGGCCUUAUAAGUCGGGCGUGAAAGCCCUCGGCCCAACCGAGGAAUUGCGUUCGAUACUGUGAGGCUUGAGUCCUGGAGAGGGUGGCGGAAUUCCGGGUGUAGGAGUGAAAUCCGUAGAUAUCCGGAGGAACACCGGUGGCCGAAGCGGCCACCUGGACAGGUACUGACGCUGAGGUGCGAAAGCGUGGGGAGCAA
rnacentral:rRNA from 1 species